AAAAUUUUGCUGACCCAACCAUUAAAAAGACAAAAAUUUGAUUACCCAACCUCAAAUAUCAAUUAAAAAAUAAUUACCCACCCUGGCAAAAACGUUACAAAAGGAUACCAUUCAGUUGUCACACAUGUCCUUUACCACUUCUGUGACAUGAGUUUGAUAACUGCUUGUGCAAUUUUCUGCAGUCUAAAGUUUCAUGUUGUCUGCACAUGUACUUUCUUUGGAGACACCAUUUGCCUCCUGACAAAUCGGAAAAUGAUCAAGAUAGUGACUCUGAUUGAUUGAUUGAUUUACAUAUUGUAUUGACAUAUGACUGUUGACAUUGCUUUUUAGUCUUCAAUAUUUGAGUGAGUCAUGCUUUGGAAAUGACAAUAAAUUUUUAUUACCCAACCCUUGAGUUGUUUUGUUUUUCAUUCACCCAACCUUUUACUCACUCAAAAUUUUGUUUACCCAACCCUUUUCUCUUCGGUGCCACCCCCCUCCCCCAUAAAUUAUGACCGCUCCCUAAGAUGCUGAAAACGAGUAUCACAACGAAAUGUUACGUGUACAUUAUCUUUAAAGGUAAACAAAUAUGUACGUGCUACAUGUGAUGUGGCGUUCUUCUGUCAGACAACCAUCGCACCUCGAACUGAAGGAGAAGCUCUCACAAGAGAUCACAUUUCGUGUAAAAUUACCUACAGUUGUACAG